rnacentral:rRNA from 1 species
CCCUUAGAUGUUCUGGGCCGCACGCGCGCUACACUGAUUCAUGCAACAAGUUUUGUCCUUGGCUGAUAGGCCUGGGUAAUCUUUGAACGCUGGUCGUGAUGGGGAUAGACUUUUGCAAUUUUUGGUCUUCAACGAGGAAUUCCUAGUAAACGCAAGUCAUCAACUUGCAUUGAUUACGUCCCUGCCCUUUGUACACACCGCCCGUCGCACCUACCGAUUGAAUGGUCCGGUGAAGCCUCCGGAUUGGCGCGCACCUCGGUGCCGCCGAGAAGUUGGCUAAACCUUACCAUUUAGAGGAAGGUGAAGUCGUAACA